ensembl:lncRNA
GUAAACAAACAGCUCAUCUUCUGCACAGCAGAGGGGGAAAACCGUGGGCAAUCCUGUGGCUGGAGAUGGUAUCAGAGUAAUUUGGCGCCGGGAGACAAAUUACAGUUGACCAGUGAUGGAGAUGGAAUCACGCAUGCAGAAUCACAGAAUUAUAGGGGCUGGAAGGGACCUCUAGAGAUCAUCGAGUCUAACCCCCCUGCCAAAGGAAUGAUGUGCUCAAGCUGUGUGCGUGCAUCCUGAUGGCAAGAGUGGUGAAGGAAUCCCAGCCCUUUUCCCAGGAUCUCUCAUCACACGUUUUUGCUGGGAUUACACAAUGCUGGACCGUUCGUCCCUAGAGGAAAACAGGGAACCAGAACAACCACGGAAAAAAUCUGAUCCCACUGGGAGCUCCCAAUGAAAAGCAUUUGAACUGAGCUCUGAAAAUGACGUGGAAAGACUCAUUAGAGUCUGGUGUUACUUAACUCAAGUUUAUAAAGCAGUGUGAAGGUGAAGGGGUUUGUGUCCUUCGGAAAGGAGAGCUUCUAUGGAAAACGUUCAUUACCCCUUGCCACUUGGCAUCAGAUCAAAUCUGACGUGAACCACUGCAUCAAUAAAUGCUCUGAAACUAAAGGGGGGUGCUACUGACAUUAAGAGAAAAGAACAGGACACCGGCUGAAUUCUGUCCUGGUACAUCUAACAGAAAGGGAGCAGCGACCCAACGUUACCAAAGAUGCAGUGAACAUCAGAGUUCUCCCGCAGAGGCUGGAACCUGCAUGGCAGCCCAAUUGCAGGGUCAGGUAUGCUGGCUGCCCUUCUCCACCCCUAACCUGUUUGUGGACAAAUCGUUAAACUCCACGUCCCAAAUGACCUCAGUAUUUCAGCCUGACCCUCAACUCCCUCUUUACUGAAGCGCUAACGAUAAAAGAUAUUGUGGAGUGAGUCUUUAUCUUAGCUGAUAUACUGUGUUCAUAAAGGCUGAUGUAACAAGGGUCAGAAAUGUCUUGUGAUAAAUCUCUUCCAUCCUCUCUAACCCCCACGUGAAAUCAACCUUCAUGUAUCCUAGCUUUUAUACUGCUGGGCAAGGAGACAGCGGCUUGGCACGAGCGUGUGCAAAUCCCUCAGGUGCUGGGAAUGAGAAGCAAAGAUUCAUUACAGUAAUAAAGUUCCAGCCUUCCAGGGAUGAGGUCAAACGAGAGCAGCAGAGGGCUGGCAAAUGGGGGCAGAAACUUCUGUACACGUGAGCGAUAAAUCAGCCUUCCGACAUGGGUUUGUUUCACUCUGCUGAGUAAAAAUAUCCUCACCGCAAAGCAAGAAAUGUCCAUUGAUCAGUGCCAUGGAGUGGUUUUCUACCUGAAUUUGCUUUGUUUUUUUGCUCAUUUAUCUUUGAGCCUGACUGGCAAGUGACAGGUCAUGGCCAUUUCUGUGCAUCUCACACCAACGGGAGAGCAGUACUUAGCAGUGGUGCAUUGAACAGUUUGGUAUUUGCUGAGAGCCAUUCACUGUCAUGGAAGAAAUCCAGCAUUUAGUGCAAGAGCUGCUCCCUGUUGGAAGCGGGAAUGGUGCACUCCAGCAUGCUACCCUCUUUUUUUCAAGUCAUUGAAAACACAUGUUCCUAUUAGUAUGAUUAUAUUACCACAUAUCUGUGUUAUGUUACGGAGUAGAAACUACUGAUCAAAAUGACAAAGCAAACUGAAAAGCACGAGGCCUACCGACCUUACGACACGGUGCCACAACAUUUCCAAGAAGUGGGAACCUCCUGGGUGUGUCGUGGGUGGCACCGCACAAAUCCGAGCCGCACUCGGGCACGGCUGCACUUCUCUGCAGCUGGCGAGGCCUUCAGCUCGGCUCUGUUCUCAUAACAUCCUGAACUCCCCACACAGAUCCCUGGUGAGGGCAAAGGCAGCAGGCAAAUUUUCCCAGCGCUGCUUUCACGAAUGUCCUUCCCCUCUGUGCAGCUCAGAGUUGUUACACGGAGGCACACUGGCUCCAGAUUUCUGCAAGUGCCAACUGCAAAUCCACGGUGAGGAGGAGGAGGGAAGAAAACCCUGUAAGCAAAUGUAAUACGUGCCAGC